rnacentral:lncRNA from 1 species
GGUUCGCGGUCCUAUAAGGCGCUGCUUGUUUAAGUACAUCGCAUUUAGUUGAAGCUGCAGGGGAGUGAGGGAGAGGAGGAUAGGAAGCAGGAAAGCGGGAGAGCUCGAGGGACAAGGGGGCUCGGUGUGUUUACACCAGGCACGGGCUACGAGCGUCCAUCCCGGCCCCUGGCUUGCGCUCCCGAAGAGGAGAGCAAGGCUGUUCUGGGAUCCGGCCGUCGUGCGGCAAGAGGCUUGUCUGUCCGGGUUGCCGGAACCAGGAGAACCCAGAGGGAAACCGAGGGAAAGGAGCGGCGCGUUUUACUAGAGAGAGCGCGAGCGGAAGAGGCGAGAGCAGGAGCGCGCGAGGGAGCAUCGAGCGCAGCGGAGACAUGAGGACCUACUGGCUGCACAGCGUCUGGGUGCUGGGCUUUUUCCUGUCCCUCUUCUCAUUGCAAGAGUCUCGCUCUGUCGCCAGGCUGGAGUGCAGUGGUGUGAUAUCGGCUCACUGCAACCUCCGCCUCCCAGGUUCAAGCAAUUCUGCUGCCUCAGCCUCCCAAUUCACUGGGAUUGCAGGUACGUGCUGCCACA